rnacentral:tRNA from 1 species
UGUUGUGUGCCUUAGAUGGUUAAAGCAUCGGUCCAGAGAAUCGGUCGUGGGUUCGAAUCCCACCAGAGCAC